AUUGAACGCUGGCGGCAUGCUUUACACAUGCAAGUCGAACGGCAGCGCGGGCUUCGGCCUGGCGGCGAGUGGCGAACGGGUGAGUAAUACAUCGGAACGUGCCCAGUAGUGGGGGAUAGCUCGGCGAAAGCCGGAUUAAUACCGCAUACGACCUGAGGGUGAAAGCGGGGGAUCUUCGGACCUCGCGCUAUUGGAGCGGCCGAUGGCAGAUUAGCUAGUUGGUGGGGUAAAGGCCUACCAAGGCGACGAUCUGUAGCUGGUCUGAGAGGACGACCAGCCACAGUGGGACGGAGCCAGGCCCAGGACUCCUAGGGGGGGAGGAGGGGGGAAAUUUUGGACAAGGGGCGAAGGCCGGACCCAGAAAGGCGGGGGGUGUGAAGAGGGCCUGGGGUUUGAAAGGCACUUCGGGCGGGAACGAAAAGGACUGUGCAAAUACCAGGGUUGGAGGACGGUCCCCGAAAAAUAAGCCCCGGCAAACUGGGUC
rnacentral:rRNA from 1 species